CGGGAAAGGGAAUAACACUUGAAAUGUAAAUAAGAAAUACUCAAGUUAAUAAAAAAAAAGAAAUGUAAAUAAGAAAUACUCAAAUUAAUAAUGAAAAAAAUAAGUGUAAAAUGAUACAUUAAAUUAAAUAUAAAAUAAAAAAACCCAAAACAAACAAAACAAACAAACAAAAAGAAACAAAGAAAUAAAGGUGGACAUAUUGUCAGAGGGUGGAUAGCCCAUUCCUGGAGUAGAGACAUCCCGGAGACUACACAAUUAGCUCCUAAAUAACAAGACCUUCAAUGAAACAGGAGCAAGGUGGAGGGGUUUUACCUCCUGUUAACAAGGGUUUCUUCAUAUCUGUGGAAUGCCAAACCACAGAACCCCUUAGCUCAGCAUAGUAUGUUGAUGGCUGCCAUCACCAGCCACAUCUUUAGACAGUGGCUCCUCUGAGGUAGCAGGGAGUCCACAAGGCUACCAUGGUGCAGGGGAAGCCUAAGUUCAUGGCCUGACUUUACAGUUGGCUUUCAUGUGGACUCUACUUUUCCCCCCUUCCCCACAUAUGACACUGAAAUAGUCCUUCUAGUUGGCAUGAUGAAAUAGGCUUGCUAUUGUGUGAACAUAUGUGGUGUUCAGUGUAAGGAACUGGAUGGAAUUUAUUCUGGGGAGUUUAGAAAAGGAGAGAGUGGUCAAAUAAUGCUGGAUAGACUGUCUUCCCAUGAGUCUGCCCUCCCACAGUCCUUUCAUGUAAGCCCAUUCUCUGAGUUUUUAAUCCAUCCCUAAACCCUCAAAGAGCACAGCAACUGAAAAUCUUGAAAGCAGAAAACCAGCAGAUUUCUGUUGUGUAGCUGCACUGUUAGGAGAAUUCUUUUAAAAUAUGAUCUAUCUUCUGUGAUCAAAUUCAGUGCCAUCCAGUUCCCCCUGGAGGCUCCUAGUUACUCAGCAGCAGGCAAGCAACACGGAGAGCUCAUAGACAAUGCCACAUUCCAUGCAAAACGUAUAUUUCCCACAAACACCACACGUAGGUAAAUAAUUGAAAACACUGAAAAUGGGGGACUAAAUACAAUUGAUUCCUGGUAGAUUUAAAGUUUUGCUGGAAAGUUGGAGUAGCUCGUGUUUCUGUCUCAGAAUUACUUUUGGAUCUGACUUUGACAAUCAGUAUAACAUAGACUGAAGAACUGAAACAUACGACUGUUCAAAGAGAAGAGGGCUGUGUAACGAUGUCAACUCUUACAUCUUCCGAUUUUUAAUUCAAGUUCCAGUGAGGCCAAGGCACCAUGCAAAGAGCAGAAUGCUUGAUUUGCAUCCUUGGCACAAGUCAACCAGAAUUUGAUUGUUGAUUUAUACAUCUACUAAAGGAUCUGGAUAACAUGAAUUGAUUACGAAAGAGGAAAUGAAGAUUUAUUCAGCUAGAGAGUCAUUCAUGUCACCAAGAUCCUGCAGCAGAUGGUAAACUCUGGCACAUUGAACAUAUCAGUCAUUAUCAGUCAUUUCUACCUUAGCAUUUCUUUAGGCGUGACUUCAGUUAUACAUACACACACACUCACACACACACACACACCUAUAUACAUACAUAUUCACAUACCAUAUAUAUAUACAUAUAUAUAAUAUACAUUUUAAAACCUUUUAAAAAUAACCAUAUGAAAGUGUGUGCCUGUGUCGGAGAAUAUGCCAGAUGAUGUCAGGUACCUUAGAGCUAGAGAUGCAAGUAAUUGUGAGCCACUUAAUGUGUGUGUUGGGAUUCAAACUCUGAUCCUCGUGAUUGAGUAGUUAGGUCUUCUUAACUGCUAAUUCAUACUCUGGCCCUAAAUUAAUACGUCUGACAGAUACUUUUGCUUCGUGUGACAUACGCUUACUUCAAAAAACCAUUUCUUCAGUCAUGGUUAACCAAUCGGAGUAACCACGGGGUAUACUCAGGAGAACUCUUCCCCAACUUCAAACAUGCCGUUCUGUGCAUAGAAACCUCGUUUGUGUGUUAGAGUAGAGGAAGGCUGGAGCCCCUUGUGCCUGGCUGAAAAGCACUACCCCUUUCUGUCACCAAGAAGAGGAAAAAAAACAACUGAUCACUCACAAUCCAUUUUGGCUCGUGGAUCCAUCUAACUUAGGAAGUUGACGCUCAUCAGACAGAAAGCAUGUGACAGUGGGGCAGACAGGAGUUAACAGAUAUCAGUGUGGAAUAGGGGAUUUGGAGGAUGAAGCUUAUUUUGGAAGCAGCUGGAAGGCUUUGGUCAAUGAAAGGAGAGUAAGAGAUCCUCACAGGCUUUUAGCCUGUCUGAAUAUGAAAUAUGAAUCUUUAUUUUUUCAGUUGUUAGGGUAUCGUUGGACAGAUUUAAAAAUAGGAUGGCUCUAGACUGUACAGGAAGAAUGUUAUCAUUUCUGACUGAACCGUGUAUGUUUAGGCGAUGUGCUGUACAGUAUGGAGUUUCUGCAUCGGAAUAGACGUAGGAUCAGUUAACCCCGCAUUCACAUCUUAGUCAUAUCUGUAAGAAUCUCUGUGCUGCCUUCACCACCUCAGUUCAAUCUCUGUAAGUGUCUGGUGACAUCAAUGGAAUUGUGUGUCUUCCGCACGUUGACACUUAGAUUCUAAGUAUAAUUUUCUGCAAGGCAUUUUUCAAAAUAGAAGUAUUAAAGGUGAUUUCAAUGUGUUUCAGUGAAAGAAAUUCUAUGUUACUUUUUGUCAUGUUUAAUUGUGUUUUUUUCCCUAUUUGAAAAUUAUUUUCUAACAAUGUAUGAGUUUCAGUAAUUUAAGUGCAUUUUCUCUUGGCUCUCCGUGAUUCUGAUUGUUGACAUGAUCUGUCCCUUUUCAGGACUUCAUGGCCCAGUGCCAGAACCUUUCAUUUCUGUUUUCACUGAUACAGCUUUUUGACCCAGGAAGCCAAAAAUCAUUCACAAACAAAUUGAUUUUUAAAACUUCAUCAUGAAGCAGCCAUCACCUUCCUGAUGUAUCUGCUUCCAUUCACCAAUUCACUCAGGAAUUCCUUAGCUUUAUAGUCAAGUAUAAAUAUACCAUAGAUGCAGAAAUUAAAAGAUUCUGGGCACUCCAAUACACCUUGGCAAUGAAUCGACUGUUGAGAAGAAAAACAUUUCAAUGAAAUUCUUUCACAUUAAAUCAACAUGUCUCAGAGUUUCACUCCAUUGUAGCGAGUUUGUAGAAUAGUGACGCUGUCUUAGUUAUUUUUUCUUUUGCUGGGAUAAGACACCAUGAUUAAAGCAGCUUACAGAGUAAGGAGUUUAUUUGGGCUUACAGUCUCAAAGGGUUAGCGUUCACAACCAUCGCUGUAGGGAACAUGGCGACAGGCAGACAGGCAUAGAACUGGAACAGUAGCUGAGAGCUCCCAUCUUGAGACACAAAAAUGAGACAGAGGCAAAAGCAAUGGAAGUGGCUCAAAUCUUUUGAAACCUCAAAGCCAACUCUCUGUGACAUACUUUCUCCAACAGGGCCUAACAGCUGGGCUCUAAGUAUUCAAACAUCUGAGCCCACGAGUGCUAUUCUCAUUUAAACCACCACAGAAGGGAGACACAAAAGCCUGGAGCAUCUUUUAGUCUGUAAGUCCAAAGUGACUUAGGGGUGGUUAGUCAGGGAUGUGGCUAAUUAAUAGUUCAUGCAGUAGGGCAACAGUAUAUCCCAGUGGUAGAUCCCUGUCCUUUGUGAGUGUCAUAGUUUCUAGGUUCAAAACUCAGUUCAACCACUUUGUGACCUUGACUCAAUUCCUUCUCUUUACCUAUAGUCUUGUUUUGGUUUGUACUUAUUUGAUACUGUACUCAUUAAGAAAAUGCACAUAGACAACAAUAUGAGUCAAUCAUUUGAGGGAUAAAAACUAAUUAUUCAUUCAUUGGGGCUAGAGAGAUGGUUUAAUGUGCUAAAAUAUUUACUGUGAAAGCAUGAAGACCUGGGUUCAAAUCCCCAUGAUUCAUAUAAAAACCAGACAUGGUAGUAUCUACAGGCUGGGUGCUUCUGGCAGUUUGGGAGGCAAAGAUGAGAGAAUCUCUGGAAUAUUAAGGGCCAACACACAGAAGAAAACUGUGACGUAAUGUGGAAGGUAAGAAUUUGACACCCAAGUUUGUCCUUUGACUUCCAUACACACAAUGUGGUAUGAAUGCACCUACACACACACACACACACACACACACACACACACUCAUAUACACACGCACUCACACACACACACUCACACACAUACACACACACUCACAUACACACACACACACUCACACACACACUCACACACACUCAUAUACACACGCACUCACACACACACCACACACACUCACACACACACACUCACACACACACAUACACACACACUCACAUACACACACACUCACACACACAUACACACACUCACACACAUACACACGCGUGCGCACACACACACACACACACACACACACACACCAACUUUUUCAUGUCUUCCUUUUUAUCCCGUUUUCCUAAACACCAGAGUCCUGUGCUUAGAAGCUUUAAACUUUAGUGAUAUCAUCUUUUGUCAUGAGGCAUCUCUUGGCUCUGAUGCAACCAAUCCUAGACGUAUGGGAAUCCCUGCUCCUGAGGGAAAAUUUUACAAGGGGCAUUUUCUUGGGGUUUGUUUCUAAAAGAGACUCCAGGUGUGCUUAUAAUUUAUAUUAGAAUAUCCAUAUCUUGCAUUAGUUGCAAUAUUCUGGCUACAUGCUUUCCAGGAGUCCUUUUAAUGAAGAGACCAGUACCCCCAUUUUUUUAGGACCACAUUACAGUUUUUCCAAAUAGAUGGCCCUUCUCUACAUAUUAGUAACUUUGGUACAGAGUGCCAAUAUUUUACGACAAGUGUUUUCUUACCUUACCCAAUGUGGAAAUGUAAAAGUAUUCCACCUUUGCUGAAGGAAUGAAUCUUCAUUUUACAUUGCUGUCCUUCUUAGAAUGGAUAAAGAGUCACUAAGGAAGAAAUACUCCAAGUGUAUCUCUCCCCAUUCCUUCUAGCUAGUGACUGCGACUAAUUAAAGUAGAAUGGUUAAUAACAUUCUACAAAUACAGUAUGUGGUGGCCUGGAAAUUUUCCCCUGAUAACAAGAUAACUAUAGGUAAAUUUCCCCUCAAGCCAUCUUACAAACAAGUUGUGCAUAUGUAAUUGCCUCCAGAGCAACCUCAGCCUCAAAGAUGUUGCAUUUAUCUAGAGCAUUUGUGAGUUUUGGUUAGGUCAACAACUUUACCUUUUACCUCUUGAGGUGAGCGAUUCUAGCGUGUACACUGUUAGGAAAAAUUUGAAUGUGGUCCUAAAGAAAUGGGUGUCUCCAAGUCAUCUCGGAUCAAGUUGUGAAACAGAACUGUCCCUGUGCCCUGGUAUGUUCUGAAUUUAUGGACAGGCAGAUAGAUCAUUUGGGACAUGUUAGAAAGGAUUGUCAUUAAAUGAUGUCUUCAAUAUAUAGUUGAGUAUUUCUUGGAGGAGACUCAAAAUAGAAAACCACAGGUUGUAUUGUCCUAAUUUUCGUGUCCAGCUAAAGAACAAAAGCCCCUGAGGUACACACUGACUCACAAAUUCCAUGCUUUUAAGAACAGCAGGGCAAGGGCCACCAUCUACGGGAUGUGUUGUUGGCAAAGCCAGUCUAUGUGCAUGACUGACCCUCGCUCCUGUUCUUUUUUGAGACCCUUUCUAUGUCCUUUGGAUGAUUGUAGAGUUCCUUGCUAGCUACAGCAGGAACAUAUUUUAUUUCCCUGAGGGUAACAAAGAGGGGAAAUCAAACAUACUAUAAUUAGCUAUUGAUUUCUUUCUUAAGAUUUUACCAAGAUGCAAUUUAAGGAACAAGUCUUUUAAACCUAAAUUAGUCUCCAGGAAAAAAUACAUGAGAAACUUAAGGUUUAAUGAAUGUACCUGAAGCCAAGUAUUUCAAUGGCUCCAUUCAGAUCUGCCAGGUAGGUUUUUUUUUUUUUACUUCAAGGAAGAUCUUUCAUUAAACAUCAAGAGGUAAGAGCUCAGUGCCAUGAUUAUCAAAUGCUCUAGGAACUUGACAAGUGUUCAUAUUCAUAGACUCACACCAUGCUUAAAAUUUUAUAGUUUUUCUAUUUCUUUUACUAUAGAAGAAACUAAAAUUCAGGGAGAUUAACUGACUUGGAAAAGGUUUCAUUAUUAAUGGGUUACAGACCAAAGAUGUAAAUCAGGCAGCCUCCCCUCCAGGGUCCCAAGUCUGUUUCAUAACAUGGCCUUCUUACAUCCUUUGAACCUCACAGGAUGCUUGUGGUCUAACCCAGUUUCUUUUUUUUUUUUUUUUUUUUUUUCCGGAGCUGGGGACCGAACCCAGGGCCUUGCGGUUGCUAGGCAAGCGCUCUACCACUGAGCCAAAUCCCCAACCCCUCUAACCCAGUUUCUUUUCCUUCACUCCUACAUCCCUCUGUUCAGCUUUGUAAAGUUUUGCUUACUAUGAACCUUCUCCCUAAUGUCUAUCUCACGUUUAUGGAUAUAAAAAUGACAUCCUUCCUUCAAAACUCAUCUCAAGAAUUUCCAUAAAGCAUUUGCUGAUUAGCUUCUGCUCAUUCAAGCCCAGUAGAUGGGCUUAGCCACUUCCCUGUUUAAAUGAUCAUCACACCCCAAUUUAGCUGUGACACUUGGUAAGACUUCAGGACUUUUGUUCUUUAGAAUAAAAGUACCAUAAGGUCAGGAGCUGGAUAGGUCUUAACUGACUUUGCUAUCUUCAGAGCCUAGUAUGGAUUCUCAGAGAGGACAUUAUGAAAUAUUGCACAGACUCCCUUAUUCUGAGAAUAUUUAUCAUCACUAUUCAAAAUAAAGCAGGUAAAUUCUUAUCACACUAAAACAUAUUCUUGAGUGUUUUUUUUAUGUUAGUUGUUGCUGUUUUCAUUUCCAGAAGUUCUAUUUAAUUCUUUUAAAAUCUACACGACCUCAAAUUCAUCAUGUUCAAGAUUUGGAUAGCUAAUUUUCACUUGUUUUUAAUGCCUUGACUCUCCUUCAUGGUGAUUCAUAUCCCCAUGUGGUUUGUAAUUUUGUAAUUUGUGAACUCAUCUUCUGCAGGGCCUAUUUUUCCCUGGAGAGCUGGAUGUGGAAGGAAGAAAGGAGAAAGAAAGACAGACAACCAAAACUGUUUUCGAGUUGUUUCAAAUGUGUUUUCAUUACAGAUUUUAAGGACUUUAAUGGUACUAAAACAGCUUCUCAUGCAAAUUUCAUGACUUAACUUUUUCAUAUUGCUGACUUAAAUACAUUCAUCUUCCAUGCCUACAUGUGGCGUGGCAUGCAUGUGGCUUAGAAUUUAUCAUAACUUGCUCUCCCAUUUGCUUCGGUGAAUAGUAAGCCUUUCUUUUUCUUUUUUUCUGAGUUGACUAGCAGAGUUCUAAUAGAUGUCUUUCCCCUAAUAGGAUAGGGUUUUAGUUGUGCACUGUACAGUUACUUCUCACUCUCCCAACUUCAUACAUACCCAAGGCUUCCUUACCUCUCCAACCCUGAGCUCCUAGAUGCUCAAUACACUUCAAAUUAUGUUCAAAUCUCAUUUGGCAAAUGCCAUCAGUGCUGGGUUUUGUUCUGGCUCUGAUUUAUAUCAAGUUGACUCUCAGGCUUUCCCUUUGGGCCUCUGGACAAAGUUAUUGUAUUGGGAUUUUGUUUCUAUAACAAAAUAUCUAAGAUGAACUAUAUAUAAGAAAAAUGUAUUUUUCUUCAUGGCUUAUAAAGGUUUCUACCCAUGGUUGGCUCUGUUACCUUGGAUCUUUAGGUAAUCAUGGAAGAAGCAUGUGAGUGAGAGGCUUGUUCACCUCAUUGUGUAAUUAGGGAGCCAAAAGAAAAGGGUAGGGUAGGGGGUCCCAAUAGCAUACUCAAGCUUAAAAUACCUUUAGAUUGGAACCCCUCCUUUUAAGACAAGGUCACACUGUGUAGCUCUGGGAUGUCCUGGAACCUCCUAUUUGAAGUGGCUGAAGUCAAACUCACAGAGAUCCACUUGUCUACUACAUGCCGAGAUUAAAGGUGUGCACCACCACACGUGGGGACUGGGCUCCUUUAACAGUUUCAUCUCCUGCCAGUAGCUCCCCAUACUGGAAAGCGAACCACAGAGGAGCACUUCCAAACCAAAUGCAGUACCAAGCAAUUUGUAGAGAAACGUUUUCUCUUGUGCCUGUAUCUGUAAGGAAGUGGGGAGCAUCUCGGUCUUCUCAAUCUGCCGUGUUGCUGGAAGUCUUGCUUAAGAUUUCAAGAAUACUUUCUCAUGCCUUCUCAGAUGAUCCACUUAAUGGUUGACGUGAAAGAUUUACCUGAACGUUGUCCAUGUGGCUGCAGCUUAGGGUUCUUACUUAAGUGAUGUCUGAUAAUGUUCCCCUGACUGUUUUGAAACAUGACUCUUCUUAUUGAGCCUAUGACUGUGCACAUAGGGUAAAGGUUAACAUCGGGGAGUAGCUUCUCAAAGUAAGACCAUUAAUUCGCUUUGCUGUGAUCUUGUCCCGGAUCUAGGAGAUUCUCUUGUAUCUCGUAGUUGGUUGCUCCACAAACCUCCACUGUUCACCCUACAUCUUGUAUGAAUAUCUGCAGUUCCCAAGUUGAUUAAUAUGGUCCUUUCUACGCAGCUUCCUUCUUUCUCUCAAAUGUCAUGAGUUUAUCCCAAGCCUUUACUGUCCAUAGGAGUCAUUUCCAUUGUCUUAAUGGCAGUGAAGACAUUCCUCUUCACUGCCAUCCCAGUGCUUCCACUCCACUCCUUUCUAAUGCACUUAUCUUUCAUCCUGCUCACUAGAUGAGAUUAGGAAGAUAAAUAACUUGGUCCACUUUGUACCACUCUGAAGUGGAAACUUUAGGUCUUUUGGAGAGUCAGUCCUAUUGGAUGGUGUUUUGCUGGGGUAAACACAUGAAGGAGUGUUUUCCUGAAUUGGACACAGGUGAAAGACUAAGGCAGACCCAUGAAGGAACAUUUCACUGAGGCAGACACAGGGGAGAGGAUGUUCUGCUAAAGCAAACACAUGGAAAGACACAUGAAAAAAGAUAUUUUGCUGACAACUGCUGUAUUGGUUCACCUUACAUUGCAUAGUUGAGCCUACAUUGCAUAGUUGUCAGGACUCCUCAGAUUCUGGCUGAUUGCAUGCACAUGCUGAGGCAAGACUUGUGCUGAGGCAAGACACAUGGAGGACAUGUGAUGUCUGGAGGGUAUAACUAGGACUCCACGGAGUGAUGCAGACAGAGCUUGGCUUGCUGGUACAGCUAGCUGUGCAACACUUGUGUGUCUCGAGUCUUCGCUGAUCUUCACUUCCCUGAGGGAGGCACAACCAAGAACUUGCUGGUGUUUCUCUUGGUCGUUCUUGCUGACUCAAGCUGAGGCUGAGGCCUAGCUGUCUCUGUUAGGUCACGCCACCACUGUUGCUAACCCAACUCUACAGAACUGGAUUGCUGGUGUAUCCAUGAAGUGUUUGGGAGUGGACCGAGCUACUGCUGCCUGCUAACCUGUGAACUGCCAAUUUCCAGACAAUACAGUUGGGAGUUGCUCCAGGGAACCUUUCUAAAAAGGUCCACUUCCCCCAUAUCCUUUCUUUCCUACUACCUCUGUUUGGUGGUAGGCUUAAAGGGAGUGUUUAUGAACCAUCAUUGAAAAUAAUAUUAAAAAAAAUUAAAGUUAUACCACUUGAACAGAAUGCCACAUUCUGAGUAAUCUAUGAGGGACAGAUAUCUAUUUUCUUGAUGUUUUAGGCUAUGGAAAGUCCAAAAUCAAAGCACCACCAUCUGCUUUGACUCAUCUUAAAGGGGCCAACAAGAGCCAUGCUUUUGGUCCUCAUGUGGUGGACGUGAAGAAGAUAGCACACUUCUCCUUUGUGACCUAAACACUUUCAUAGAGGUCUUGCCUCCAACAUGGCUACAACACACAGGAGUUUGUUCACAGCAAUGUAAAUUACAGUAAAAUAACCUAAUCGUCUAACCCAUGGGUCUAGGCCCUUCAUAAAAUUAUGCUUCUUUUCUGCAUAAAAACAUGCUUUUGCCUAUGACCUAUAUUUUUAUUCCUCAGGAUAAAACUGUCUACAUAUGUAGUGUGCUUUCAAAUUGAUCUGAGCGCCAUUAUCAGAAUCCGCAUAUAGAAGGGAAUUACAUUAAUUGCUUUGAAUCAACCUCUUCCAACACACUCGAUCCAUCAAAGGCUACAGGUACCCCUAAAUAGAAAAGCUGAGAAGCAGAGUCUGAUUUGGAAAGCAAACUGUUUUUCUUCUACUCACACACCAUAAAACUCUGAUGCUAAAUGUGUGUAUGUGGUGGUAGUUUUCCUCACACACCAAGCAAGCCAUCAGUCCUGUAGUGGAAACCAUCUGGAUGUCCCUUAACUUAAUUGGAUUCUGGCAUUGUAUACUUGGAGAUGAUGCGAGAUCCUUCAGUUUGAGGAUCCAGUCUCAAGACGGCCUGUACUCACUUUGGGUAUCCGCUGUUUACAUGGAUUUCUGAUCCGAUAUCUAUAAACUGAAGCUCCCACUAAGCUCCCCCUUGGAUUUGACUGAUUUUCUCACACAGAACAAAACCCAGGGAAACACAACUUUGUUGGCUUUAAAGGAGGUUACAGAGAAAUACAGGUGACAAUUGCACAGGCUGAGGAAUAUGACAAAGAGUACAGAGCCUCCCUGCCCAGCAUGACUGUACUGUCUUCCAUGUACCCCCUUGUGAUAGCUGAAGAUGGCUACAUGGGUCCCUUUUUUUAAAUGCAAACUUCAUUUUGUGGGCCUGACUUAAGCAUGGGCAAACAGAUCAAAAUGCAAGAUGACAAAAAAGUUCAUAAUGUGCCCGUAGACUGGGCAGGUGAACCCAGUUAGGUCUUUCUACAUUUUUCUUGGCUUUCCUAGCCUUACUGUGUAUUGUUCUUGCCUUUUAGGGAUAUCUUCCAAAGUAGAGGUCAGUCCUCUACCAUCAGACAAGGGGAAUGAAAGACAGGUUUAUGAUCAGCUCUGAGGCAGCAGCACAGAGAGAUCCAGUUUCUUAUAAACUGUUUAGAGGAAGAAAAUUCUGUUUUCUAUAGUCUGCCUUGGGGAGGAGUGAGUCAUCGCAAACCAUGGAUGGAAACUACAAAACAUAACACAGAAUCGGAGUCAUCUCAGGGAGCUUUGUUUCGUUCUCUUUAAAACGUCCCCCUUGCUGAAUUCCCUGGGCUCUUGGAUUUGCCAUUCUUAAAAACUGCCCUCUUUUCUUGAUUAGGUAAGUUUUCUUGGCUUUGGAUAUAAGCUCUGGAAAUUUUCAUCAUCUUGUAGCUGUGAGACAAAGAAACCCACUGUUAGAUGAUAGAACCAGAAGAGUCUCAUCUUUAGCCCUUCACACAUGAAGGGAGAUCCAGCCUUCUCUCUUUACCCAUGAGAUGUAGGUAGAACAGAGAUCAUGAAGCUACAUAUAAAUCCUACAACAAAUACUGAAGCUGAAAAAAAAAUCCACCCCACACAACCGAAAAAGCUCAUUCUAAAGCCAAUCAGGAAUAGCACUGGCCUCAGAUGUGAAUAAUAGAAAAAUGAAAAAGUUUAAAAUAUGUACAAAGACCACCAGAGGCAUAGACACUCUCAGGCAUCAGCUUUAGCGUGUCUUGCUGAUGGUAAGCUUUUGUCCUCUUCUUGCUUAGGUCUGUGUCUGUGAGGUAGAAGCAUUUGUUUUUCUGGGAUUUUUUUUAUCAGUAGUAGAAGACAUUUGCAUCAAAAUGGGACAUUUAAAAUGAUCUCCUGGCUGAAGAUGACACUUGUCACAGUUGAUUGCUAGUAACAAGGGAGAAUUGGUGCAUAUAGUCUAAUGUCUGCAAUGUAUUUCAUUAUCGUCAUAGAAAGCUGAGUUAAACAUACCCUCUUAUUAGAGUAUAUGUCUGUUGUCCGUUUUUCCUUCUAGGCUGCCAUGACGAAAAGAUGAAAAGAGAGUCACCUAGCUGUGGUCCUAGGAAAUGUGAGGACUAGACAUUAUUCCUUUUAACCUACUUUUGUUUUGUCUGUUUAACCAAAGAAAAACAUUCAGGAAAUGUCGAUUAAGCAAUGGAUAAUCUGGCUGUAGACAAUUCGAAUUGUUGAAGGAGCAGAGAUGACUCUGAGGGCUCUAUACUGCAUCGUCAUCUCAAUUAUGUUCUCCCAUAUGUCUUUUAGACAUUUGCUGUUAUGGAAACCAGCUUGGGACGCAAAGGUUGUUUUCCUUCUUCCUCAGCUUCCCUCCAUAGAGCCGUGGCUUUCUGGUAAUUUGGAUGCUUCCUUGGAGACUCUGUAGCUCUGGUCAGUAAGUAUAGCCAGAGAAUCCGAGAUGUGUGGGGAGAGAGCAAGGAGGCUACAGACCAUGACAAUCUUGUCUAGCAGGAGGUCAUUUAUAUGUGUCUAUUGGGGGCAGUGGAGGACAUUGUUGAUGAAUGUUAGCAUGCCUGCUCCUGAAAUCAAUGCUUUCUUCAGGAUAUAAUAUUGCUUUAUUCUGGGACGCUGCAGGAUUUCUGUGGCAUUGGGCUUUGUUUGAAAAUGCAAAGAAUUCUCCAAUGGCAAGCUUAGCUGUUCUAAAAAAAAUAAUCAAUUAAAAACUCAAGUGCUUUGGAUACUAUGAAAGCAAGUCACAAAUGUUCCUGGUUUGCAUCUGAAACAAAGAAGAGAGAGUGAAUGUUAUUUUAGAUCAAGGACAGCUGUCACCUAAUGGGAUUAAUUCCUUCCACAAAGAAACUACAAGCAAUGGAAAAUGCCAAGGUCUAGCAUUGUGCUAGCAGACAAACCAAACUGCAACAGAUUCUAAAUAUUUUACAGUGUGGUUAGUUUUAUUUUGUGGUUUGUAGGUACUGAAAAGAUGGAGAGAGGAGUUUUGGAGCACCAGAGUCUGUAGUCCUAGAAAUUAUGUUAGGAUUUUCAUUAUUUGGUCCCACUGACCUCCUGGAGAGGUCCCCCCAAAUCAUGUGCUUUAUUCUUCCCUGUGCAUUGACUAUGUCAGCCCGACCUAGUUGCCCCAUUUCUUAUGUUCCAGCUUUAUCAACAUGAGAAAAUAGUGUUUGCUAAAACACAGCCAUUUUUCUGUAGCCUGUUCUGGAGAUGAGGUCCGAAUCAGUCUUCCCGAUGAUUCUUCUCAGGCAAUGAGCAUGAAAGCGUCAUCUUUGUUGGCAAAGUGACACUGACUGGGUCCUAAAUGGAAUGUUCUGCUCAAGGUUACUUCUGCCGUGGUGUUAGAGAACACUCCCUCCAGCAGGAUCCACCACAGUUAGAGCUUCAGAAAGCAGCAGAAGCUUUCAUGGUACUGGUGUCUGUGUGUUCUGUGUGCAAAGAAACCCAUUCAAUCCUGUGUAUGAAGUUCCUAGAUUUAAGAAAAAAAUUAAAAAAAAAAUAACCAUCAAAUAUUCUAAAAGGCUGAUAGACUGACUGGAGAGAGUUGGGAUGUUACACGUUGAGAGCCCAAUUAUCUUAGGUUAUCCUAGUCUCUUAACUGCUGCCAACUCAUUACCAUUUACUGUCUACCUCAGUGUUUGACCUAACAUCCUUGUGACUUCCAUUCCUCUUUAGAAUAUACAAAUGGUCCCCUGAUUCCUACCACUCCAAAGACUAGGAAUGACAUCAGAAAACAUCUGAGGUCUAUAGCCCAGACUUCCUUGUUUUGCUUUCGCUUGUCUAUCUGAAGUUUCCACUGCCAAGUUGAAGGUCUUUUUGAUGUAGCAGAACUCAAAGUAAUAAAACUGAUCAUAUAAAGGGUUUACUAGUAGAUUUGCUCAGGAGACAUUAAUCCAAAAUACCCUCAAGGCUAAGUAGAAUGCUAACCUGACCUGUGAGUGAUGGACGAAAUUACUCUGCUAUCAUGUAAAUGUCUGUUCGCCAGGAUUCACCACCCCUAUCCCCAACUAGGCCCAUCUCCAAUGAACGAGCCUCUAACCAGCUGCUCAAGGGGUGGCACAGGUCACAACUAAUGUUAAGCCCGGGCUGCUAUAGAGUCCUCAGUUCUCUUCUUGAGAAAAACAUAAUCCUGCUAGAUGGGCAAGAAGACACCAGGUAACAACUAGAUGAAAAGAAAGAAAAAAAACCCACAUGCACACUUACAAGAAGUUUGGUUAUGUCUUUGUGUGUCUGUCAUCUGCAUAAGUGGCCAGACUUGCGGUGUCCUGAAGCAGAAACUUAAGGGUUCUGUGGAAAGUCAGUUGGAUGGUGUUUUGCUGGGGCAAACACAUGAAGGAACAUUUCUUUAAAGUGGACAUGGAUGUGAAAGGCUAAGGCAGACUCAUGAAGGAACGUUUUGCUGAAGCAGACACAGGAGAGAGGAUGUUCUGCUAAAGCAAGCACAUGUAAGGUCACGUGAUAAAAGAUACUUUGUUAAUGACAAGCAUGUGGUGGUCUGCCUUCCACUGGGUAGCUGAGCUGCAUGUGUUGGGAUGCCGUAGAGAGAAAUGCACCAAGAAAACUUCUGGUGGUACACUGCACUUUGUUGCUGCUUCCAACGACUUGAGCUGAUUGGAUGCUAGUACUGGGGCAAGGCACAUGGAGGACACAUGAUGUUUGGAGGGUAUAGAUAGGACUCCACGGAGUGACAGAGACAAAGCUAGCUGUGCAACACUUGUGUGUCUCGAGUCUUUGCUGAUCUUCGCUACCCUGAGAGAGACAAAGCUGAGAACUUCUGCUGGUGUCCCUCUUGGUCCCUACUGCUGGCUCAGCCUGGCUGAGGCCUGGCUGUCUCAGCUAGGUCCAGUCACUAACCUGACUCUACCGAAUUGGUCUGCUGGUGUAUCCAUGAAGUGCUUCGGAAUGGAUUGAACUGCCACUGCCUGCUCACCUGUGAGCUGAACUGACGAUUUCCAGGCAACAUAGAUGGGAGUUGCUCCAAAGAACCUUUCUAAACAGGUCCACUUCCCCCAUAUCCCUUUUUUUCUACUACCUCUGGUGGGUGGUCAGCUACAAGGGAGGUUAAAUCAUUUAAGAACCAUCAUUAAAAAUAGGAUUUGAAAAAGUUAAAAUUACAGUCUCCCAUCUUUGCUCUGUUUAUAUUGUCCAAAUUGCAACCUUGAGUCAGGACCUAGAAAGCGUUAAGGAUGACAGCAUAUGUAAAAUGCAUAAGCCUAAGGUGUUUGUAAGUUAACAAAAUCAUCUAUUUCAAGCUGGCUCUUCCUCUGACGUUAGCUACAGCUGACCGCAUGCUAUCUUAGCAGAGACUUGACGUUUCCUCAGUCUUUGAGACUUUGUUCAGUCUGUGGAAUGAUUUCUCACUAGGAAGGCAUAUCAUUUCUAUGUCUUCUUUAAUUAUGGUUCUCAUUGUUGUUACUCUAGAAGCCUCAUAGAACUGCUACUACAAUGGAACGCAGGGUUUGGAGUACCCUAAUUCUCUGUCCUGGGCCAUGGCCACUUGUAUUGGCUCCAUUAUCAACAAUCUCUUAUUGUUUUUGAGGCGAGAGCUGGAGUUUUGCAUUGACAACCACUUUGACCAUAGAUGAGCAACGGAGACAUCAGUCACCCCUCAAAGGCCUGUGUAUUAAGGCUUAGUUUCUAGUUUGGCGCUGUUAGAAGAUGAUGAAAAUAAGAGACGAAUGAGAGGUUUUCUGGUCAGUGAGGCAGUUCCUACCCCUUCUUCCUUCACUUGCAUAAUUCAUCAAUGGGAUGAGUGGCUAUGCUCUACACAUACUUACACCAUGGCGUGCUGUAUUCCACAGGCCCAAGAGAGGCCAAUUGGAUAUUUCAAAGGAUCUGAUGAACCAGAAGAUGACAAUACCCAAGGAUUACAUCUUUGUCCAAGUUACUCGAGAAGUUGACCAGUCUUCACACAGCAGAUGCUUAAAGAGUCACCACGUCAACCACCAGGUGGCCCAGUGUGAAAUCGAAAUGAAAAGCGUUCUCCACAGACUCAUGCAUUUAAGCUUCAUCUUCAGUUGACAGCAUCGCGGUAAAGCCCUGUUGGGCCUACGCCUGGUUCUCAGUGUUGUGACUAUGCAGGCGUCAUCAAAUGGCGGUCCCACCGAGAUUGGGAAAGAGAGGACAACCUGACUAGAUCGUCCCAGGAAGCCAGCCGACAAAGGAGGAGGGGCGAAUUGGGGAAAACUGGCCAGGAAAGGCCUCAGAAAGCAGGAUUCAGAAGGAACACAGGAAUUGAAAGCACGUGCAAAGAAAAAUAAACAUUUGGGCUAGUGGUGAGUAAACCUUGCAAAAAGGGACAAGGUAAUAAUGGCAAACUGUUUUUUUGUGUGUGUUCUUUUAGAGUUAUGCUAAAAUCUAGAGAAGCGAAGUCAAUUUUCAUAGAUGAUUUUAGUCUUUGGACCCUGACUAGAGACAGUUAUACCCUAGACAAGAGAGAGAAUGGGUUUGAGAAAAACAGUCCUCCUGGACUCUCCACAGAUGCUUUGCCGAGAGAAGGAAAAUGAGCUUAAGCUUUUUAAGAACUCUCCUAGGGACAGGAAGAGGGCGGGAGAAGUACUGCCUCCUUGCUGGAUCACAUUGGAGAAGUGCUUAUUUCUGGUUCUGGGUCCUUUAGGUAGGAUAUCUGGGUCCCUUUGGUGGGACACCAUCUAGUCCUAAUUUUUUCCCUCUGUCUAUUGUCUGUCCUUGGUGCACCAAGCUGUCCAUGUAUGUCAGUUUAUGUCUGGGUUUUGCUUCUCAUUGCUUGAAUGUCUUGUGUUUCAUGUUUAAAAGAAAAAAAAUGGUUAAACUUUAAAUGCUGGUUGAUUCACCCCUUGAUUUAGUUUUAUCUCCUUUCAAGAAAGGAAAAUUAAUAAAAAGCAGUUUCAAUUGGCUUUUGGAGUCCUGCAUCUGUAGCUAGGAGCCUAGGUCCACUGGGGAAGCUCCCCAGGGGGCUGGCUAAAUGUUUACACUAGCCCAUCCUAAGUGCACCAGGAACUUCACAGCUUCUAUGGUAAUGGAGCUAAUGGCUGUUUCUCUUAGAAAAAUCUGACUGUGAUUAUUGGAUUCAACAGUUGACAAGGUACUUCUCUUAAAAUUACAGCUAGAAAAAGUAGAAAUGUUGUUUGAUCUAAAUAUUAAAUAUAUGUGUAGCCACUUCAUUUUUUGUUUCUGAUUGGUUUUAAAUGUAUAAUAUGCUCUACAUGUCUUGGUUAUAGGUUACUGGCUUUUAAGUUAUUGGGUAUGGUUAAAAAUUGUAACAUUGGUUAACAUAAAGUUGGUUUAAAACUGAUAAUUCAGAUGGAGUCAUUUUAGACAACAUGUGGUAUGAGAUAACCCAUGGAAACAUGUCUAAAUUGGGAUAAUAUUUUAAUAUAAUUCUUAUCAUAGAAACCAGACUUAUAAAAGAAUUUAGGGCAAUGUCUCUUUGUUGAGGUAUUAGAGUCUGCACCAUUGCAAGAAUUGGCAGUCAAACUUUAAAGCACGAGAAAUGGGGGGCUGGGGAUUUAGCUCAGUGGUAGAGCGCUUACCUAGGAAGCACAAGGCGCUGGGUUCGGUCCCCAGCUCCGAAAAAAAGAACCAAAAAAAAAAAAAAGAUUAAAGCACGAGAAAUGGACUUGGUGUUUUGGAGAGACUGGAUUUUAGAGAAUAGAUGGUUUGUUGGAGGUUGAGUUUUGCUCUCCAAAGUUAUCACUGUGCUCUGGUAUUACAAAGGAAACUUAAAGAUUGUGGUUAAAGAUUGCCAGUGUUACAUUGGCUACCGUUUACAGUUCGAUCAUAGACAGGCUCAGGAUUCUAACUCACACAUAUUUGUAAUUAAGAAAAAAGUCAAACAGGGGGAGAUUGUUAACUUAUAAGAGCACUACAGCCUGUUUGCUUUCUCCAACUGCUAUUUUAAGAAAUACAUAUAGAAUUAUUAUAGAUUUAAAAGAUUGUUUUUAUGAUGUUUCUUUACAUACUGGCGAUUGUGGAAGAUUUUCAUUUAGUGAGCUUGCUUAUAAUUUUGGAGAGCCCAUGAAGUGAUACCAUUGGAAAGUUUUGCCUCAAGGAAUCACUUGUGGCCUUACAUUAUGUAAAACAUUUUUGUCACUGCUUCAAUACAAGAAGUUAAGACUUUGAAUCUUUCAGUGUAUAUUAUUCAUUAUAUAGACAUUUUAAUUUUACUACAAGCCUUUACUCUUACAAUGUGCUUUAAAUUUGGGGGAGUAGCUGCUGCUCCAGAAAAGAUUCAAUAUUCCUUUUCAAUAUUUGAGACAUUGGUUAUAUCCUAAACAGACUGUGGCACAGAAAAUUUAAGAUAGUUUACUUUAAAUUAUUUUUAAAAGCUUCUAAGAUAUGUUAAUUGGCUAAGAUCUCACCUUUAAGCCUUUGUUUGAUAUCCCCAAGAGAGAUGCAAAUUCUAUUCCCCUAGACAAUUAACUGAGGAGUGGCUGAAUAGCUUUACAGAAAGUGAAGAGAGCUAGAUGUACAGAAUUGUAAGAUUGAGUCAUGGAAGUAUUUUAGAAAAGGAACCUGAUGAAACACGCCUUAUUCCAAACAGCAAUCAAAUAGGUUAUCUAAUGAGAAGGCAACGCAUGUAAUUGGAUCACAUGUUUAGAAUAAAAAUCUUCUGAAAUCUGCACCAUGCGUGUUGGCACCCUUUUUUCUUUUUUGGUUUGGAAUGGAACUGAGGCAGUGACAAGGGAGGAGAUUCUCAAUUGUUCUUCCAGGUCCUGUCUACUAACCAAUUGCUGGGAACAGGAAGAUUUUUGCAUUGAUUGUUCGAGUUCCUGGUGUGAUCCCCAUGCCUCUGGAUGAAGGCUAAUUUCCAGUGGAACUCUACAGGCAUAAAAGAGAUUUUGGCAUUACUGCGACAGUCAUUGCUGCCAUCGCCAUUUCAGCCACUGCUGCUGCAGUGCCUGGUGUGGCCAUAUCUCAAUCGACAGCUAUCUUUGGAAUUAUGGAGAGGUCACCACGGCACUGACUGUGCAGAAUAGUGUUAAUACUCAGAUUGAGUUGGGCAUUCUUAAUCUCAGCCAACAAACUGCUCUCCUGCAGGAACAAUUGGACUUUCUCUGGGAAAUCCAUAUUACAUCUUGUUCUACCUUUUAUCAUUCUGUGUGUGUAACCCCUAUUAAGGUCCUUAAUAGCAGCAAGGCUGUUGGGGAUUUAAAUGCUUAUCUUGAUUACUCGCUCUUAGCAGCUGCCCUUGGGCUGUUUUAAGUACCAACAGAUCCAGUCUCAGGCUGAAACCAAACAGGAUUGAUUUUCAUUGGCCGGAAAUAAUCCAUCCACCCAAAUUAGGCUCAGUUUGUAUGACAAUUAGUUAGCCAAAUACAGGCAACCUUCUGAGACCAUACUUGCCUAAGACAGAAACCCUGAGGACUGUCAGGGUAUUCAGAGAUGGGAAAGAGUUUUGGAACCCAAGAUUGAUCCUAAGACAGCACUACUUAAAAAGAAAUUAAAGGGGUUGGGGGUUUAGCUCAGUGGUAGAGUGCUUGCCUAGGAAGCGCAAGGCCCUGGGUUCGGUCCCUAGCUCCGAAAAAAAAGAACCAAAAAAAAAAAAAAAAAAGAAAUUAAAGAGGGGGAAUUGUUGGGCCCUACCUUGGGGUGUUUCCCUUCCCCCUCACUGAGCCUUUCAGCCUGCUAUGGCAAGAGGUUGUUUACACCCUUGGCAGCUGCUCUCGGCCCCUGUUUUGGGGCCGGACUUUACAUGACAUCCUUCCCCCUCGCUUAGCCUCUCAGCUUUUUAAGAAGUUGUUUAUGCCUCUGUUUGGGGGCUGGGACUUUCCAUGACACAGAUUUUUCCUGUUUUCCUGUUUGGGAUUUUCACCUGCAUUAUUGUUUUUCCAUGGCCUUUGCCUCUGGUAUAUAAGGAGAUCUCAGUUAAAGCAUGGACGGCAUUCUUUUAACAUGAAUGACCCGAGUGUGUGUUUCCUCUUAACUCUUGCAGGCCUAUACCUGAUUCUCAGUUUUGUGACCCUACAUCGUCACAUGGUUUCAUUUUUGUUCCAGUAUUGGGGAAAUAGUUCACCAAUGCCCUCAUUGGAGAGCUUUGCAAGUCCUGAGUAAAGAAGGUCCCUCAACUUAUUUUAAAGAAGACAUAUGUCAAUUAGAAGAGUCACUUAGCUACUGUAUCAAAUAACAUGUAAACCUCUUUGACUUAGAAUAGUGAGGUGUAAUGUAUGGUAUCUACUCUGGGCUGGUUAACGAUCAUUUGUCACAUAGCCCUCCUCUCACUGAGACCCUUAUCAGCAGAGUUCUCAAUGUUUUCCAGAUCAGUGUUCUUGUCUCAGGAUAACCCAGAACUUCAGAAUUUAGGCUGAUGACUUAUUGGUCAUAACUAGGAACAUUGCCCCAUUCAGCCAAAAACAAAACAAAACAAACAAAACAAAACAACAACAACAAAAACCCAAAAACUGAAGUAAGUACUGUAGCACUGGCCUUGUUCAAUAGCAGAACUCUAAAGUUCACUGAAAGACACAGGAGACCUACUGCCAUUCUGGCUUUAAAAACCAGGAUUGACCUAAUUACUGUUCACAAGUAGUAGUUUUUAGACUCUUUACUAAAGAUAUAUGAUCAUAUACGUCAGAUAUAGAACUGGAAGGCUGAGUGUUAAACAUUUGUCUGAGGCAGAAUUUUCUUUUAAAAGAUUAUGUACAAGCAAUCUCUUUUUACUUGAGUUCUCCAAUGGAAUUCCCACAACAGAUAAAAAUAAUUUUCUAACCAGUUGAUUCUUACUUCUUUCAGAUAAAACUGCUGUGUAACAGAAACAAAAUAGCUUAGCUUUAUAAUAUAUUUGUUCUAUUUGUUAGGACAAGGUUUACCAUAAAUACCCACUUACAAUAUCUUCUGCCCAGUGUAUAUCAUAAAUUCUAAAAUAAUAGCGAUAUGAACUUGCUAUAGAAUCCAUCUAAACAAAAUAAACUGAAUGUAUUCUUUUAAAAAAAUUGCUAGAAAAGCCUACUGAAUAUAAUUCCUAAUGCUUUCCCAUCCUGUUUGCUGGCUGGCUGAACUGUGCUGCAACACAAAAUGAUGGUGUUCUAUUAUCACCUGCAUCAUACUAAGCACAGCAGGUACUUGUUGUUGUGGUUUUUUGUUUUUGUUUUUGUUUUUUUAUUAACUUGAGUAUUUCUUAUUUACAUUUCGAGUGUUAUUCCCUUUCCCGGUUUCCGGGCCAACAUCACCGUAACCCCUCCCCCUCCCCUUCUUUAUGGGUGUUUCCAUCCCCAUCCUCCCCCCAUUGCCGCCCUCCCCCCAACAAUCACCUUCACUGAGGGUUCAGUCUUACAGGUACUUGUUAAUGGUAACUCUAGAGUCCCUAACUUAUAGUUUCUGUGAGAAGUAAAAGUUAUUACAAGUUAUCAAACUUAUGUCCUUCUUCAACUACCUCCAAAUGCUCGUCCAGUCCUUUAUGUGUUAUCUCUUUUACACCAAUACAGUUCAGUUAUCUAAUGUAUGAUCUAAUGUAUGUAAACUGCUCUAAGCAGUGCUUGGCACACAGUCACCAACUACUAUUACUCUCACCACUUCCUGUUUUACAAAGGAUGCUUUAUAUGUUACAUGCCCUGCAGAUUAUAAAGUAUGAUACUUUAGUAGUUCAACCUAGUUCUCCCAGGAGGGAGAAAGCUUACAUCCAAGGCAACCUCUGUAUUAUUAUUUUUCUUAUUUAGGACAGAAAAGGUACAUGACUUCACAAGUGACCAAAGAGAUCAAAAACUACGUGUAUAUACAUUGAUAUGCAUGUCCCUAAGACAUUACCUGAAGAGUAAGUACAAAGAACUA